UAGUUAGCGGGCCUCCAA
rnacentral:misc_RNA from 1 species